rnacentral:rRNA from 1 species
UAAAAAUUGUAACAAGGUUUCCGUUGGUGAACCAGCGGAGGGAUCAUU